rnacentral:rRNA from 1 species
AUUGAACGCUGGCGGCAUGCCUAACACAUGCAAGUCGAACGGCAGCACGGUGCCUUUCACCUGGUGGCGAGUGGCGAACGGGUGAGUAAUACAUGGGAACAUGGCCGGUAGUUGGGGGUAGACCACCGAAAGCAGGGGUAAUACCUCAAACGAAAUACCGAUGAAAGAGAGGGGGCGUCGUGCCUGGCGCUAUAGGGCUGGCCGACGCCGGAUUAGCUAGUUGGUGGGGUAAAGGCCUACCAAGGCGACGAACCGUAGCUGGUCUGAGAGGGAGACCAGCCACACUGGAACUGAGACACGGUCCAGACUCCUACGGGAGGCAGCAGUGGGGAAUAUUGGACAAUGGGCGAAAGCCUGAUCCAGCAAUGCCGCGUGUGUGAAGAAGGCCUUCGGGUUGUAAAGUACUUUUGUCGGGAAAGAAAUGCUUGGGCCUAAUACGGUGGGGGAAUGACGGUACCGGAAGAAUAAGCACCGGCUAACUACGUG